rnacentral:pre_miRNA from 1 species
UUUAAGUGCAACCAUAAGUUUUCGUGCCUAAUUUUAAUAGUCCGUCUUAUUUGAAUUUUUUUUAUAAUUAGUAUUUUUGUUGUUAUGAGAUGAUAAAACAUGAAUAGUACUUUAUGUGUGACUUAUGUUUUUAUUUUUUUAAAAAAAAUUAAAUAAGACGGACGAUCAAAGUUUAGCACGGAAAAACAUGGCUGCACUUAAA